GAUGAACGCUGGCGGCGUGCCUAAUACAUGCAAGUCGAGCGAAUGGAUUGAGAGCUUGCUCUUAUGAAGUUAGCGGCGGACGGGUGAGUAACACGUGGGUAACCUGCCCAUAAGACUGGGAUAACUCCGGGAAACCGGGGCUAAUACCGGAUAACAUUUUGAGCCGCAUGGUUCGAAAUUGAAAGGCGGCUUCGGCUGUCACAUAUGGAUGGACCCGGGUCGCAUUAGCUAGUUGGUGAGGUAACGGCUCACCAAGGCAACGAUGCGUAGCCGACCUGAGAGGGUGAUCGGCCACACUGGGACUGAGACACGGCCCAGACUCCUACGGGAGGCAGCAGUAGGGAAUCUUCCGCAAUGGACGAAAGUCUGACGGAGCAACGCCGCGUGAGCGAUGAAGGCUUUCGGGUCGUAAAACUCUGUUGUUAGGGAAGAACAAGUGCUAGUUGAAUAAGCUGGCACCUUGACGGUACCUAACCAGAAAGCCACGGCUAACUACGUGCCAGCAGCCGCCGUAA
rnacentral:rRNA from 1 species